CCUACGGGGUGCAGCAGUGAGGAAUAUUGGUCAAUGGACGAGAGUCUGAACCAGCCAAGCAGCGUGAAGGAUGACUGCCCUAUGGGUUGUAAACUUCUUUUAUAUGGGAAUAACAUGUUCCCCGUGUGGGCUUUUGUAUGUACCAUAUGAAUAAGGAUCGGCUAACUCCGUGCCAGCAGCCGCGGUCAUACGGAGGAUCCGAGCGUUAUCCGGAUUUAUUGGGUUUAAAGGGAGCGUAGGUGGAUUGUUAAGUCAGUUGUGAAAGUUUGCGGCUCAACCGUAAAAUUGCAGUUGAAACUGGCAGUCUUGAGUGCAGUAGAGGUGGGCGGAAUUCGUGGUGUAGCGGUGAAAUGCUUAGAUAUCACGAAGAACUCCGAUUGCGAAGGCAGCUCACUGGACUGCAACUGACACUGAGGCGCGAAAGUGUGGGUAUCAAACAGGAUUAGAUACCCCAGUAGUC
rnacentral:rRNA from 1 species